AUUGAACGCUGGCGGAAUGCUUUACACAUGCAAGUCGAACGGUAGAGGGGGCAACCCCUUGAGAGUGGCGAACGGGUGAGUAAUAUAUCGGAACGUGCCCAGUCGUGGGGAUAACGUAGCGAAAGUUACGCUAAUACCGCAUACGAUCUAAGGAUGAAAGCGGGGGACUCGCAAGAGCCUCGCGCGAUUGGGAGCGGCCGAUAUCAGAUUAGGUAGUUGGUGGGGUAAAGGCUCACCAAGCCAACGGAAUCUGUAGACUGGUCUGAGAGGACGACCAGCCACACUGG
rnacentral:rRNA from 1 species